AUGCAGUUAUUCCUGGGGUUCCCGUAUAAGCGCUAUCUACGGUGCCUCAGCUCAGCCUACGUACGGCGUCGCCCAUGGAUCCUCAUGUCAUUUCCAAGGCGAUCACAAGGAAAUCUUGUGUUGGGGUGCAAUUGCAUACACAAACUGAAACACAGGCAGAAGGACUGGUGUGCACUGAGACUGAGACUGAGACUGAUAACCAUGACUGGUCACUGGUGUGCACGCACCCAGCUCAUGGCGAAAGAUACUAGAAAAAAGGUGAAGAAGGAGCGGCCGCCCACUCGACGGUGUGGUGCAGGGCGGCGAGGGAGCCCGGCAGGGAGGCGUUGA
rnacentral:rRNA from 1 species